UAAAUAUGUCUCUACAUGCCAUGUAUUACAUCUCCCUUACAUCUCGGUGUACACUGUUCAUGCCAUCUUCAGUACAUUUUACAUUUUUACCGAAACUGGUCGAUAAUAGAAUCACCUAGAAAUAUUCUUUGAGAAAUCACGUGGGCGGCGCGCCGAUAUCAAGUGACAUAUAAAUCAUAAAUUUGUAAUCAGGGGACCGUACAAAGUAGCGCUCCUUAUAAGGUUUAAAUAUCCCGUUACACGGUUCAUACUUGAUUUAUAGGCUACACUAGAAUGUAUCGUGCUAAAAAGUCUUCUUGAUAUCGAUAAACGAGGCGCUAACAUUUAAUUGUCUUACAUUAAAAUCAGGCGGUAUAAGAUCAAUACGAAAGUUGAAACACAGCUUCAAAAUAGUUUAUCGAAUAAUCUUUAUUGUUUUUAAUGUGUACUGCUAACUGCUCAUUUUCUAACAUAUUUCCUGAUCAUUAUUGUAUCUACUAACCAAGUUAUCAUAUUUGGAACAAGAAUAUGAAAUGAAUACCUAUUUAAUGUUGAUUCACAUAUUUCUCUAAUUUAAUUUCCAAAAUUCUGAUAUCUGAUAUAAUGGUAAUCUGUCGCACUUAGAUACAAUAGGUUUAUGUCUUAUCAAUAAAUGAUAUUUUCUUAUAGGAUGGUUACUAAGACACUACUCUACUGUCUACAGGAGAAAAACAAGUCGACUUGCCUUAUGCUUUGUUUUGCGUGUUUCAGCUGAUGACUAUAACUCUCAAGUGCGAAAUGUUUGUCAAAUACAACUAUAAAAGGGACGAAUGGAUAUCAACCGUUUGUGUCAUGGAGGAUAUUUUCUGGUCAAUUUUCCUCAGUGACGUGUAAACUUAGAAGAACGUUGGCGCCGUACACCGAUAUAGACUCCUAACGCAUCAAAAUUGAAAUUUUAGGGGACUGCUGAUGCCUGACAUUGUCCUCAUUCCUGCAUGCGUAACUUCGGGGAACUGUGCAGAAAAAAGUAGUACAGUGGAGGUUUUAUCAGCAAGUGGAGUUGGAACAACGUCUCCGGAAUCAUGGAGGGUGGCAAUGAAAAUAAUUUUCUUACAGUCACUUAUACCUGCUGACCAAGGAUUUUCGCUAAAUAUGCAAAAUAUUGCAUCAGGAUUUGAUCGAGGAACGAUGGCAUUCUGCUUAACAUGCAGCUUUGUUUAACUGUUUAACUACGUAAUAAUGGGGGAGAUAUUAGAUGAGGAUGUGAUAUAUUAUGGUAAUAUCGUCUAUUAUAUGUAAAUUAUUAAUACUACUGAAAAGAAAUAUCCAGCUUAUCAGGAUUUAACCUAACUCUAGUGAAAUGAGCAUUAAGAUAUUCAAAUUUGUAUAAUGUUUGAGUAUUUCCUUGACUAACUAUAACUUCAGUCAGAUUUGCAGUCAGCAAUGUAGGCUUGGAGUACACUGUUGUAUUAAUAUAAGAGUUUUAAAAUAUUUAACCUCAAUCAACAAUCAAUACUAUGUCCUAAAUUUUAUUUGCUUGUAAAAUUGAA